GCGAGUGGUGGCCCGGGGGCCGGGGUAAUAUAGAUGGCCCGUGUGGUGUUCGGUAUGACUGGGCGUAAAGGGUGCGUAGGUGGCAGGGUAAGUUGGAUGUGAAAUCUCCGGGCUUAACCCGGAAAUGGCAUUGAAUACUAUCCGGCUCGAGGGUUGGAGGGGGGACUGGAAUUCUCGGUGUAGCAGUGAAAUGCGUAGAUAUCGAGAGGAACACCAGUGGCGAAGGCGAGUCCCUGGACAAUACCUGACACUGAGGCACGAAAGCUAGGGGAGCAAACAGGAUUAGAUACCCUAGUAGUC
rnacentral:rRNA from 1 species